rnacentral:sRNA from 1 species
UCACAAGUGGUUCUUUCAGGGCCUUCUCUGAGCUUCUGGGAAAUGAGUCUCCAGAGAAUGGGGCUCCUCAUGAGAGUGUAGCUUACCCACCCUUUACCAAGGAGAUUAGGCAUGUGACUCACGA